rnacentral:rRNA from 1 species
UGCAGUUGAGCGGGAUUUGCAGAGUAUCGUAAAUCUAGCGGCAAACGGGUGAGUAACACGUAGGAAAUCUUCCUUAGAAUGGGGAAUAUCUUUGAGAAAUCGGAGUUAAUACCGCAUAAGACCACAAAUUGGCAUCAAUUAGAGGUCAAAGCAAAGUAGAGCGAAAGUGAUACAGAGCGUUCUUAGAUGAUCCUGCGGCCUAUCAGCUAGUUGGUAGUGUAAUAGACAACCAAGGCAAUGACGGGUAUCCGGCCUGAAAGGGUGAACGGACACACUGGAACUGAGACACGGUCCAGACUCCUACGGGAGGCAGCAGUGGGGAAUUUUGGACAAUGGGCGAGAGCCUGAUCCAGCGACGCCGCGUGGAGGAUGAAGGUCUUCGGAUUGUAAACUCCUUUUAGAAGAAAAGAACAAAAUGACUAUUCUUCAGAAAAAGCCACGGCUAACUACGUGCCAGCAGCCGCGGUAAUACGUAGGUGGCAAGCAUUGCUCGGAAUUACUAGGCGUAAAGCGUGCGUAGGCGGUUGGAUAAGUUUUUGGUGAAAUUUUUCGGCUUAACCGAGAAAAGUACAAGAAUACUGUUCAACUUGAGUGUGGUAUGGGAGGAUGGAAUUCCUGGUGUAGCGGUGAAAUGCGUAGAUAUCAGGAGGAACACCGAUGGCGAAAGCGAUUCUCUGAGCCAAUACUGACGCUGAGGUACGAAAGCUAGGGUAGCAAACAGUGAUUAGAUACCCUGGUAGUCCUAGCUGUAAACGAUGUUCACUAGAUGUGGAAAGUAUCGACCCCUUCCGCGUCGGCGCUAACGCAUUAAGUGAACCGCCUGGGGAGUACGACCGCAAGGUUGAAACUCAAAGGAAUUGACGGGGACCCGCACAAGCGGUGGAGUAUGUGGUUUAAUU